UACGGAGGGUGCAAACGUUGCUCGGAAUUACUGGGCGUAAAGGGCUCGUAGGCGGCCAACUAAGUCGGACGUGAAAUCCCCAGGCUUAACCUGGGAACUGCGUCCGAUACUGGAUGGCUUGAAUUCGGGAGAGGGAUGCAGAAUUCCAGGUGUAGCGGUGAAAUGCGUAGAUAUCUGGAGGAAUACCGGUGGCGAAGGCGGCAUCCUGGACCGACAUUGACGCUGAUGAGCGAAAGCUAGGGGAGCAAACGGG
rnacentral:rRNA from 1 species